rnacentral:rRNA from 1 species
UACGUAGGUGGCAAGCGUUGUCCGGAAUUAUUGGGCGUAAAGCGCGCGCAGGCGGCCUCUUAAGUCUGAUGUGAAAGCCCCCGGCUCAACCGGGGGAGGGCCUUGGAAACUGGGAGGCUUGAGUAUAGGAGAGAAGAGUGGAAUUCCACGUGUAGCGGUGAAAUGCGUAGAGAUGUGGAGGAACACCAGUGGCGAAGGCGACUCUUUGGCCUAUAACUGACGCUGAGGCGCGAAAGCGUGGGGAGCGAACAGG